GAUGAACGCUGGCGGCGUGCCUAAUACAUGCAAGUCGAGCGGACGGACGAGAAGCUUGUUCUUUUGAUGUUAGCGGCGGACGGGUGAGUAACACGUGGAUAACCUACCUCUAUGACUGGGAUAACUUCGGGAAACCGGCGAUAAUACCGGAUAAUAUUUUGAACCGCAUGGUUCAAAAGUGAAUGACGGCCUUGCUGUCACUUAUAGAUGCAUCCGCGCUGCAUUAGCUGGUUGGUAAGGUAACGGCUUACCAAGGCGACGAUGCGUAGCCGACCUGAGAGGGUGAUCGGCCACACUGGAACUGAGACACGGUCCAGACUCCUACGGGAGGCAGCAGUAGGGAAUCUUCCGCAAUGGGCGAAAGCCUGACGGAGCAACGCCGCGUGAGUGAUGAAGGUCUUCGGAUCGUAAAGCCCUGUUAUUGGGGAAGAACAGAUGUGGAAUUAACUGUGGACAUCUUGACGGUACCGAAUCAAAAAGCAACGGCUAACUACGUG
rnacentral:rRNA from 1 species